ACACACUCGGUUACAGGCAUGCAGACACUUAUGGACGCUGAUAGGUACACACACACUCAGUUAAAGGCAGAUAGUCACAUACAGGCACACACAACGGCACAGCUACAGCGACACAUACUAUUGGAGUCACACACAGGCAGACAGUCACACACAAACAGGCAGACAGUCACACACACACACACAGACAGACUCAGGCAGGCAGUCACACACAUGCAGGCAGACAGACAGACACAGGCAGGCAGACAAACAGGUAGUCACACACACACACAGACAGUCACACAGACAGACAAUCACACACACAGGCAGACAGACAGUCACACACACACACACACACACACACACACAGAGACUUACCUAUUUCCAUUAUGGCUGGAAGAGGGAGUGGAAGCAAUUGGUUGUUGGGGAAGCAGGGACUCCUUCCUUCUUCCCUCUUCUUGUGCAGCAGUUACCAGAGGCUUUGGGUAGGUAUUAGCCCCACCUCGCGAUACGCCUCGCAAUACGCCUCGCCCCUGCUGCCUCAAUUUUUAUUAUCUUUUUUUAUAGUCCCGGGUGGAGAAUAAUAAAAUCCUCCACCCGAGUACCUGUUUUAGCUCCCCUGCACUCCUGUCACCCGGCCAUGUGCAAGCUGUGUCGGCCACAUGGCGCCUCCUGGUCCAAGGUGCCCUAUGCAGCCGCACAGCUCGCACACCCCUUAAGUCGGCCCUGUUGUUCACCC